GGGGAAUUGGCUCAGUGGUAGAGCGCUUGCCUAGGAAGCACAAGGUCCUGGGUUCGGUCCCCAGCCCCG
rnacentral:tRNA from 1 species